rnacentral:lncRNA from 1 species
GGGGUGGAGGAGGUUGAGCAUUUGGAUUUGCUCGAAUAAACUCAGUAUACCAAUUGUUCAUCAUUGGGAGAAAGGCAUCCCAAGCCUCAUCUCCUUGUCUCAAUGUCUCAGGUCUACUUUCCACAGGCGCGGUCCCUUGUGCGGGAGCCGGCGCAUUACUAGCAGCAUCAUCAGCCGCAGUUCCUUCAGGAUCCAUUACUAUAUUAAAACAAAACACAGUUUAGAAUAAUCAGGAGUCACCACACUAUCACAAUAUUUUUAUGGCAUGUAUAGCUAGACUUUUACACACACUUUAUUAGUCCGAGAACCGACUAAACCAUAGCUCUGAUACCACUAAAUGUAACACCCCUUACCCG